rnacentral:misc_RNA from 1 species
AUUUCUUUCAAGGGUGGUUGCCCCUGUCUGCUUUGCCUAUGAUUCUCCCCUUCUCAACAAACCAACAGCCUUUAAGAGAAAAAAAGAGCAACAUAGUACUUCAGUCUCUGGUUUUCUGGAUGAAAUUUCCCCAAUUUUCAAGUUUACCACAACAAUUAGGCCGCCUUCAGAUCUUCAGUCUCUCUUCUCUUAGCUCUUUGCAUAUUUCUUCCCGUUUUCUCUUAUUGUUAGUGUAAAACUGGAAAGUGUUCCAUUACGAUGCAUUCUGCUACA